GACAGCUCACUUGGUAGAGCAUGAGACUCUUAAUCUCAGGGUCACAGGUUUGAGUCCCAUGUUGGGCA
rnacentral:tRNA from 1 species